AGUGAACGCUGGCGGUAGGCCUAACACAUGCAAGUCGAACGGCAGCACAGUAAGAGCUUGCUCUUACGGGUGGCGAGUGGCGGACGGGUGAGGAAUACAUCGGAAUCUACUUUUUCGUGGGGGAUAACGUAGGGAAACUUACGCUAAUACCGCAUACGACCUACGGGUGAAAGCAGGGGAUCUUCGGACCUUGCGCGAUUGAAUGAGCCGAUGUCGGAUUAGCUAGUUGGCGGGGUAAAGGCCCACCAAGGCAACGACCCGUAGCUGGUCUGAGAGGAUGAUCAGCCACACUGGAACUGAGACACGGUCCAGACUCCUACGGGAGGCAGCAGUGGGGAAUAUUGGACAAUGGGCGCAAGCCUGAUCCAGCCAUACCGCGUGGGUGAAGAAGGCCUUCGGGUUGUAAAGCCCUUUUGUUGGGAAAGAAAAGCAGCAGGUUAAUACCCCGCUGUUCUGACGGUACCCAAAGAAUAAGCACCGGCUAACUUCGUG
rnacentral:rRNA from 1 species